CGACAUGAGUUGUUGCUGGCCCUCAAACGGGGGCAUGUGCACGCUCUGUUCACACAUCCACUCACACCUGUGCACCCUCUGUAGUUCUAUCGUCUGGGGGAGACGUGUCGUCUUCCUCCCGUAGCUCUACGUCUUUACACACACACCGUAGCGAAGUCUUAUGGAAUGUGCGCCGCGUUUAACGCAAUACAAUACAACUUUCAGCAACGGAUCUCUUGGCUCUCGCAUCGAUGAAGAACGCAGCGAAAUGCGAUAAGUAAUGUGAAUUGCAGAAUUCAGUGAAUCAUCGAAUCUUUGAACGCACCUUGCACCCCUUGGCUAUUCCGAGGGGUAUGCCUGUUUGAGUAUCAUGAACACCUCAACUCUCAUGGUUCGCCGUGACGAGCUUGGACUUUGGGGGUUUUGCUGGCCUCUGGUCGGCUCCUCUCAAAUGAAUCAGCCUUCCAGUGUUUGGUGGCGUCACGGGUGUGAUAACUAUCUACGCUUGUGGCAGUCCACUGGGUAAUCUUCUGUGAUGGAGGUUUGCUGGAGCUUAUAAACGUCUCUCCUCAGCGAAGACAGCUUUUUGAACGUUCGAUCUCAAAUCAGGUAGGAC
rnacentral:rRNA from 1 species